GGUUCCAUGGUGUAAUGGUCAGCACUCUGGACUCUGACUCCAGUAAUCCAAGCUCAAGUCUUGGUGGAACCU